AACUUUCAACAACGGAUCUCUUGGCUCUCGCAUCGAUGAAGAACGSAGCSAAAUGCGAUAAGUAAUGUGAAUUGCAGAAUUCAGUGAAUCAUCGAAUCUUUGAACGCACCUUGCGCCCCUUGGUAUUCCGAGGGGCAUGCCUGUUUGAGUGUCA
rnacentral:rRNA from 1 species